rnacentral:rRNA from 1 species
GGGUUGUGAGGUUAAGCGACUAAGCGUACACGGUGGAUGCCCUGGCAGUCAGAGGCGAUGAAGGACGUGCUAAUCUGCGAUAAGCGUCGGUAAGGUGAUAUGAACCGUUAUAACCGGCGAUUUCCGAAUGGGGAAACCCAGUGUGUUUCGACACACUAUCAUUAACUGAAUCCAUAGGUUAAUGAGGCGAACCGGGGGAACUGAAACAUCUAAGUACCCCGAGGAAAAGAAAUCAACCGAGAUUCCCCCAGUAGCGGCGAGCGAACGGGGAGCAGCCCAGAGCCUGAAUCAGUGUGUGUGUUAGUGGAAGCGUCUGGAAAGGCGCGCGAUACAGGGUGACAGCCCCGUACACAAAAAUGCACAUGCUGUGAGCUCGAUGAGUAGGGCGGGACACGUGGUAUCCUGUCUGAAUAUGGGGGGACCAUCCUCCAAGGCUAAAUACUCCUGACUGACCGAUAGUGAACCAGUACCGUGAGGGAAAGGCGAAAAGAACCCCGGCGAGGGGAGUGAAAAAGAACCUGAAACCGUGUACGUACAAGCAGUGGGAGCACGCUUAGGCGUGUGACUGCGUACCUUUUGUAUAAUGGGUCAGCGACUUAUAUUCUGUAGCAAGGUUAACCGAAUAGGGGAGCCGAAGGGAAACCGAGUCUUAACUGGGCGUUAAGUUGCAGGGUAUAGACCCGAAACCCGGUGAUCUAGCCAUGGGCAGGUUGAAGGUUGGGUAACACUAACUGGAGGACCGAACCGACUAAUGUUGAAAAAUUAGCGGAUGACUUGUGGCUGGGGGUGAAAGGCCAAUCAAACCGGGAGAUAGCUGGUUCUCCCCGAAAGCUAUUUAGGUAGCGCCUCGUGAAUUCAUCUCCGGGGGUAGAGCACUGUUUCGGCAAGGGGGUCAUCCCGACUUACCAACCCGAUGCAAACUGCGAAUACCGGAGAAUGUUAUCACGGGAGACACACGGCGGGUGCUAACGUCCGUCGUGAAGAGGGAAACAACCCAGACCGCCAGCUAAGGUCCCAAAGUCAUGGUUAAGUGGGAAACGAUGUGGGAAGGCCCAGACAGCCAGGAUGUUGGCUUAGAAGCAGCCAUCAUUUAAAGAAAGCGUAAUAGCUCACUGGUCGAGUCGGCCUGCGCGGAAGAUGUAACGGGGCUAAACCAUGCACCGAAGCUGCGGCAGCGACGCUUAUGCGUUGUUGGGUAGGGGAGCGUUCUGUAAGCCUGCGAAGGUGUGCUGUGAGGCAUGCUGGAGGUAUCAGAAGUGCGAAUGCUGACAUAAGUAACGAUAAAGCGGGUGAAAAGCCCGCUCGCCGGAAGACCAAGGGUUCCUGUCCAACGUUAAUCGGGGCAGGGUGAGUCGACCCCUAAGGCGAGGCCGAAAGGCGUAGUCGAUGGGAAACAGGUUAAUAUUCCUGUACUUGGUGUUACUGCGAAGGGGGGACGGAGAAGGCUAUGUUGGCCGGGCGACGGUUGUCCCGGUUUAAGCGUGUAGGCUGGUUUUCCAGGCAAAUCCGGAAAAUCAAGGCUGAGGCGUGAUGACGAGGCACUACGGUGCUGAAGCAACAAAUGCCCUGCUUCCAGGAAAAGCCUCUAAGCAUCAGGUAACAUCAAAUCGUACCCCAAACCGACACAGGUGGUCAGGUAGAGAAUACCAAGGCGCUUGAGAGAACUCGGGUGAAGGAACUAGGCAAAAUGGUGCCGUAACUUCGGGAGAAGGCACGCUGAUAUGUAGGUGAAGUCCCUCGCGGAUGGAGCUGAAAUCAGUCGAAGAUACCAGCUGGCUGCAACUGUUUAUUAAAAACACAGCACUGUGCAAACACGAAAGUGGACGUAUACGGUGUGACGCCUGCCCGGUGCCGGAAGGUUAAUUGAUGGGGUCAGCGCAAGCGAAGCUCUUGAUCGAAGCCCCGGUAAACGGCGGCCGUAACUAUAACGGUCCUAAGGUAGCGAAAUUCCUUGUCGGGUAAGUUCCGACCUGCACGAAUGGCGUAAUGAUGGCCAGGCUGUCUCCACCCGAGACUCAGUGAAAUUGAACUCGCUGUGAAGAUGCAGUGUACCCGCGGCAAGACGGAAAGACCCCGUGAACCUUUACUAUAGCUUGACACUGAACAUUGAGCCUUGAUGUGUAGGAUAGGUGGGAGGCUUUGAAGUGUGGACGCCAGUCUGCAUGGAGCCGACCUUGAAAUACCACCCUUUAAUGUUUGAUGUUCUAACGU